CUGUCCUCUUCUCUGGGAUAAUUGUUCUUUGAGUUCAAUUUGAGAAAGUGGACUAUAUGCCCUCCAGGAGUCACCGGGCGAUGCAGCAGAGGAGCAAAAAGAUAACGCCUGCUUCCCUCAGGAUCGGGGCACCAGAUCAUCAUCCCCUCCAGUCAAACAGGCUUUUUGCGGGUCCACUUUAACCCCCAGUACGACACCCAACAUAGCGGACACCGAAGACGAGGACCAGCUCCCUAUGGAAGCAUA